UGAGGAAUAUUGCACAAUGGAGGAAACUCUGAUGCAGCGACGCCGCGUGAGCGAUGAAGUAUUUCGGUAUGUAAAGCUCUAUCAGCAGGGAAGAUAAUGACGGUACCUGAGUAAGAAGCUCCGGCUAAAUACGUGCCAGCAGCCGCGGUAAUACGUAUGGUGCAAGCGUUAUCCGGAUUUACUGGGUGUAAAGGGAGCGCAGGCGGUGCGGCAAGUCUGAUGUGAAAGCCCGGGGCUCAACCCCGGUACUGCAUUGGAAACUGUCGUACUAGAGUGUCGGAGGGGUAAGCGGAAUUCCCGUAGUAGU
rnacentral:rRNA from 1 species